AUGAAAUAAUCUUAUCACUCCCUCAGAUGACCCAGCCAUGGUUGGUAAUUGCUGAGUAGCAGGAAGGGGUCAGUGGGAGGUGCUGGGCGCUGAGGUGAAGUAAUGUGUAUCCAUUCCAGGGGUCACCAGUCGUUGGCACACCAAGAAGCUGCCCCGCAAGACCCACCGAGGCCUGCGCAAGGUGGCCUGUAUUGGGGCAUGGCAUCCUGCUCGUGUAGCCUUCUCUGUGGCACGCGCUGGGCAGAAAGGCUACCAUCACCGCACUGAGAUCAACAAGAAGAUUUAUAAGAUUGGCCAGGGCUACCUUAUCAAGGACGGCAAGCUGAUCAAGAACAAUGCCUCCACUGACUAUGACCUAUCUGACAAGAGCAUCAACCCUCUGGUAAGUAAUGGGUGUUCUGCUCUGUGAGGCCAUCCCAGGCCUCGUGCUUUUGGGGAUAGGCUGCUUCCUAGGGGCUGCUAGCAGGAUCGUUAACUGAAGCCAACACAACACCUAGCUGUGUCCCUUGUAAGUGGCAUGUUGUCAUCUGAGUCCACUCGUCGGGGUUGGCUGGUGAGAAGUGGGGUCUCAGGCUCAGCUGUUCAGUGAUGAGGCCUGGAAUGUGCGCUGGGCACAGCGCCCGAGACAGACUGCGGAACCGUUCCUUGUUGCCUUCCUUCUGAGAACAGCCCUGUGGUCAGGGAGGGCCUGAACCUGGAGGGGUCAUCUGCACGACAAUCCCCUCCUGGGCCUGUGCUGAUCCGAUGCUCGUUUUCCAGGGUGGCUUUGUCCACUAUGGUGAAGUGACCAAUGACUUUGUCAUGCUGAAAGGCUGUGUGGUGGGAACCAAGAAGCGGGUGCUCACCCUCCGCAAGGUGAGGCAGGUCCUGACUUGUCAUGGGGGGGCUCUUGUAGAGGGAGGAUCCAAGGCCACAGACGCUGGUGGCCCUGUGGUGGGAGAGGAAAGGAAGGAGAGGGUGUUGGCAGUCCUUUCACACUGGCUUUGAAGUCCUGAGAUGAGGAAAUUCCCAGUCUGGCCUUGCUGGGCUGUUUGCUGCUUUGAGUGUGUCCUCAUCUGCCGGAUGGUGGGGGAGGCUGAAUUGAUCGUGUGGCUUCCCAGAUGCAGGGGCGCUGUGAACAGUGCUGAGGAAAGCCUGGCUCCUCGUAAUCCUAAAUCCCUUCCCCUCUUGGCCCAUAGUCCUUGCUGGUGCAGACGAAGCGGCGGGCUCUGGAGAAGAUUGACCUUAAGUUCAUUGACACCACCUCCAAGUUUGGCCAUGGCCGCUUCCAGACCAUGGAGGAGAAGAAAGCAUUCAUGGGACCACUGAAGAAAGACCGAAUUGCAAAGGAAGAAGGAGCUUAAUGCCAGGAACAGAUUUUGCAGUUGGUGGGGUCUCAAUAAAAGUUAUUUUCCAC
rnacentral:lncRNA from 1 species